UCAAGCUACUAAGGGCAUACGGCGGAUGCCUAGGCGCCAUCAGCCGAUGAAGGACGCGGUAAGCUGCGAAAAGCUACGGGGAACUGCAAGCAAGUAUUGAUCCGUAGAUGUCCGAAUGGGGAAACCCACCUGCCGUCAUGGGCAGGUAUCCGAAAGGAAGGGAACCCGGGGAACUGAAACAUCUAAGUACCCGGAGGAAGAGAAAUCAAACGAGAUGCCCACAGUAGCGGCGAGCGAAGAGGGCAGAGGGCAAACCGGGGAGCUACGGCUCUUCGGGGUUGAGGACUGCAUUUAGUCUUAAUGGUCUAUCCGAACUACCUGGAAAGGUAGGCAACACAGUGUAAAAGCCACGUAGGUUAAAGACCAGAGAGAUGAGCAGUAUCCAGAGUACCACGAGGCACGAGGAAUCUUGUGGGAAGCCGGGGGGACCACCCUCCAACCCUAAACACUGAAUGGCGACCGAUAGCGCAUAGUACCGUGAGGGAAAGGUGAAAAGAACCCCGGGAGGGGAGUGAAAGAGAACCUGAAACCGUAUGUCUACAAGCAGUCGGAGCGAAAGCGACGGCGUGCCUAUUGAAGAAUGAACCAACGAGUUACGUGCACUAGCGAGGUUAAGUGGAAGACACGGAGCCGAAGCGAAAGCGAGUCUUAAGAGGGCGGAUAGUUAGUGUACGUAGACCCGAAACCGCAGUGAUCUACCCAUGUCCAGGUUGAAGCGCAGGUAAAAUUGCGUGGAGGACCGAACCUGUGAGCGUUGAAAAGCUUUAGGAUGAGAUGUGGGUAGAGGUGAAAUUCCAAUCGAACGCGGAGAUAGCUGGUUCUCCCCGAAAUAGCUUUAGGGCUAGCCUCAAGUAGUAAGUAUAGGCGGUAGAGCACUGAUCGGGCUAGGGGCCAUAAAGGUUACCGAACCCUGUCAAACUCCGAAUGGUUAUACUGUAGAGCUUGGGAGUCAGACUACGAGUGAUAAGAUCCGUGGUCAAAAGGGAAACAGCCCAGACCACCAGCUAAGGUCCCCAAUGUCGUACUAAGUGGAAAAGGAUGUGGGGUCUCUAAAACAACCAGGAUGUUGGCUUAGAAGCAGCCACCAUUUAAAGAGUGCGUAAUAGCUCACUGGUCGAGAGACCCUGCGCCGAAGAUUACCGGGGCUAAAGUACGAAACCGAAGCUGUGGCUACGACGUAAGUCGUGGGGUAGGGGAGCGUUCUGUGAGGGCUGAAGUCGUUCUGUAAGGAACGGUGGACUUCACAGAAGUGAGAAUGUUGGUAUGAGUAGCGAAAAGAAUGGUGAGAAUCCAUUCCACCGAAAGCAUAAGGAUUCCUGGGCAACGAUCGUCGUCCCAGGGUAAGUCGGGACCUAAUCCGAGGCAUAGAGCGUAGGAGAUGGACAACUGGCAGAUAUUCCAGUACCGGUAAUGAUUGUUUGAGCGAUGGAGUGACACAGGAGGGCAGGCAGGCAGGAGAUUGGUUGUUCCUGUACAAGCGUGUAGGAUGGGUUGCAGGCAAAUCCGCAACCUGUGAGUCUGAGGCGUGAUGUGGAGGUUCCGGAAACGGAACUGAAGCUGCUGACCCCACACUGUCGAGAAAAGCUUCUAGUUAGAGAAUUACCGCCCGUACCGUAAACCGACACAGGUAUGCGGGGAGAGAAUCCUAAGGUGCGCGGGAGAACCCUCGUUAAGGAACUCGGCAAAAUGUACCCGUAACUUCGGGAUAAGGGUAGCCGCUGUUGUGAAGUCUGAACAGAUGGAGCAUGAGGCGGUCGCAGAGAAGAGGCCCAAGCGACUGUUUACCACAAACACAGGUGCCUGCUAAAGAGAAAUCUGACGUAUAGGUGCUGACACCUGCCCAGUGCCGGAAGGUUAAGGAAGGAUGUCCGGAGCAAUCCAAAGCAUUCGACCGAAGCCCCGGUGAACGGCGGCCGUAACUAUAACGGUCCUAAGGUAGCGAAAUUCCUUGUC
rnacentral:rRNA from 1 species